CGUUUAAAUGACGCAAAAGUAAAAAGUACAGCAACGAUUGAUGGCAACAGCAUACAUAUUGGUUUUCCAGAGCUAUGCUUUCUCUUUACCAACGUUCCAACUUUGUUUUCGUGUGGCUCAGAUUUCUUCAUUUCGCCAUGCAAAUGCAUACUUGAAGAUCUUCGCAAUCUGAAAAGAACAACAGAUAAAUCUUCAAAAGUUCAUUACUUUGUGUUCUUUUUCUUCCUGAUGGAAAGAAGACUAGUAAGUCAAUCAGAUAUCAAAUACCAUGUCUUGUCCACUUCAGAUACUAAUGAACUUUAUAAAGAAGUUAACGUAAUUGAAUUUCUAAAGGAAUUUAAGAAAAUGAAAGAAAGUAAUGCAUAUCUUAGAGCGCG
rnacentral:lncRNA from 1 species